GACUCUACCCUACUCUAGCACCAACAACCUCCAAUUUACCACGGAACAACUCCACCAAAUCAAUAACAACAUGUACCCAUAAAUGACCAUGGAAUAACGGCUGCCCUAACCCCACCAGAAAGAACCCAUCAAUGACAUGUCUACCCCAAACAAUAUUUUCCAAUAACCGAACCUUACAUUUUCUUUUUCUAGGCAAAAUAAAAAAAUAGAUGGACUACUUGCUAUUGUUGCAGAGUUACUGCUGAACCUUCUCAAAAUAAGAGAGGUCGUCCAAGGAAAUCUGUCGUUAACGGUAACACUGGUAUUGCUGAGCCAUCUCAGAAAAAAGAGGGGUCGUCUAAGAAAAUCUGUUGUUGAUGAUAACACUGGUGUUAUAGGUGCUACUUCUUCAAAAAAUCCCUCUAAAAAGAUUAGUGGGAUGACCUCAGGCUCCGAAAAGAAGUAACAACAGCUAGAAGCAUCAGGCACAGUAGGAUGUGGAUCUAUGAAUCGCAUAAUUCAUGUGGAUAUUGGACAGGUUACUCUUAUUAACCUAGGUUUUUACAAAUGCACUAGUUUGCAUAUUUUAUUUUAUACAAUUUGCUUAGGCUCGAGUUUCAAAUUUCUUAAAAGAGAAAAAGGAAGAAGUUAUUGUUUCAUUUAUUUGUUCCUUCGGUUCAUAAUUAUUCUUUUUCCUUUUAUUUGCUUAGGUUAGAACAUGGUCCUUCCAUUUUAACUUAUCUUUUUAGUUGCACAUUUAUUUUUCCUUCACCUCCUUAUGUUUUAGGAAAUCUGUCCUAUUUUUCUUCUCAAACAUUCUAAUUAAUUUCUUGGAGGAUGUUCUUUUCAGCUUUUUGAUUAGAUGUUGCAAGAGUUGUCUUAGCAACUUGAUGGUUGAGUUGAUGGCUUUGAAUCUUGAUGGUUGAGGUGCUAGGUUAAACGUAAAGUGGGAUGUGGAAAUAGAUUUUGGCGAUGAAUUUUUUCUUUUGAAAAAAACACCAAUCCACCUAUUGAGUCAGUUUUUAUUUAUUGUCUUCAAAUACUGCAUUACAGAAACUUCUUUAUCUGUCUUUAGUUGUAUUUUCUUAAUUCUACAUAUGUUGUUAGUUGUAUGAGUCUUCUUGAAAAUUGUGGGGCUCAUAGAUCCAUUUCUUGAAACAGAAAAGAUUAUGUAUUGAAAAUUGUGGGGCUCAUAGAUCCAUUUCUUGAAACAGAAUAGAUUAUGUAACUAAUACACAAUAUUUAUAUCUUACCCUUUAUUAAAUUUCUUGUUUAAAGCUAACUUCUUUUGAAUUUUUGGUUUACUUGACUAAAUAAUGUGAACCUGUUACCUUCACCGCUAGACAUCAUAUCUAAGAUAAUGACUUUCUUAGAGCAAGAACGAUCUGCAGUUUGUAUUCUAUCUGGAGUUGGAAUCUUAUGUAAAGUCAUCCUCCGAUAGUCUACGACCGCUGGUGGCACUAUGACACAUGAGGUCGAUAUGAGUUUUAGCUCAAAGGCAUUAACCCUUUCAGUUGCCUUUGUGCUGAGGGUAAUUUUGACAUCACCUUGUUAUCGGGGUUAUUUAUGUGGUCAGAAAGUGGCAUAACAAGUUUUCUUAAUUUGUCAGUGGACUGACUAGUCCAGAUGCUAGUGUUUUUUAGUGGUGUCUUUGCAAGAAAUCUCUGGGUUGUAACUCCGAUACAAGUGCUAUUUUGACAGCCUCCAUUCAUGGGUUGAUAUUUUUUCCUUUUCCUUUUGAAUGGACUAAUGUGUGUAACUUGCAUAGAACAUGCUGCUCUUUAUCACUAGGCCAAAGCAUUGAGCUGUUCUUGUUGUAAAGUUUAUGUGCAUGUUGUCACUGGACAAAA